UCGGGAAUUUUGGGCAAUGGGCGAAAGCCUGACCCAGCAACGCCGCGUGAAGGAUGAAGUAUUUCGGUAUGUAAACUUCGAAAGAAUAGGAAGAAUAAAUGACGGUACUAUUUAUAAGGUCCGGCUAACUACGUGCCAGCAGCCGCGGUAAUACGUAGGGACCAAGCGUUGUUCGGAUUUACUGGGCGUAAAGGGCGCGUAGGCGGCAUGACAAGUCACUUGUGAAAUCUCUGGGCUUAACCCAGAACGGCCAAGUGAUACUGUCGCGCUAGAGUGCAGAAGGGGCAAUCGGAAUUCUUGGUGUAGCGGUGAAAUGCGUAGAUAUCAAGAGGAACACCUGAGGCGAAGGCGGUUGCUGGGCUGAUACUGACGCUGAGGCGCGAAAGCUAGGGUAGCAAACGGGAUUAGAUACCCCUGUAGUCCCUGAGCGGGCUGGCAAGGCGCAU
rnacentral:rRNA from 1 species